rfam:Chaetura pelagica isolate M959 contig79518, whole genome shotgun sequence.
GCGUUGGGGAUAUAGUGGUGAGUAUAAUUGCCUUCCAAGCAGUUGACCUGGUUUCGAUUCCCGGCGAACGUA